GCUCGCGUAACGCAGUGGUAGCGUGUUGCUCUUAUAUACUUGACUUUGCUCAGGUCAUAUGACAUUAUACCUGUUAUUUAUACCGGGUAAAUAUAAUGAUAUGCAAAAGUCGCGAGUUCGACCCUCGCCGUGAGCA